GAAAUAUGUAAUUCAAGAAGAAGCUGCUAACUUCUAUCUUUAGUGGUUUAAUUCCAUUAAUAUUUCU
rnacentral:tRNA from 1 species